GACGAACGCUGGCGGCGUGCUUAACACAUGCAAGUCGAACGGUGAAGCAGGAGCUUGCUCUUGUGGAUCAGUGGCGAACGGGUGAGUAACACGUGAGUAACCUGCCCUUGACUCUGGGAUAAGCGUUGGAAACGACGUCUAAUACUGAAUAUGAACUGAGAUCGCAUGGUCAUCAGUUGGAAAGAUUUUUUGGUCAAGGAUGGACUCGCGGCCUAUCAGCCUGUUGGUGAGGUAAUGGCUCACCAAGGCGACGACGGGUAGCCGGCCUGAGAGGGUGACCGGCCACACUGGGACUGAGACACGGCCCAGACUCCUACGGGAGGCAGCAGUGGGGAAUAUUGCACAAUGGGCGCAAGCCUGAUGCAGCAACGCCGCGUGAGGGAUGACGGCCUUCGGGUUGUAAACCUCUUUUAGUAGGGAAGAAGCGAAAGUGACGGUACCUGCAGAAAAAGCACCGGCUAACUCCGUGCCAGCCGCCGCCGUAAGAC
rnacentral:rRNA from 1 species